rnacentral:rRNA from 1 species
UACGAGGGGGGCAAGCGUUGUUCGGAAUUAUUGGGCGGUAAAGGGUGCGUAGGUCGGUCUGACAAGAUUCUGAUGUGAAAUCUAUGGGCUCAACCCAUAGUCUGCAUGGAAACUGUCGGGCUUGAGUAUGGGAGAGGUGAGUGGAAAUUUCCGGUGUAGCGGUGAAAAUGCGUAGAUAUCGGAAGGAACACCUGUGGCGAAAAGCGGACUCACUGGACCAUUACUGACGCUGAGGCAACGAA